UAUGAACAUAAAGUGGAUUUUUACUUGCUAAAGUAGAAAGAAGAUCCCAACAUUUGAUGAGAAAAUAUACAGAAGGCAUAGGUCACAUGUCUGACUCACAGCUGCGAUGUGGUGGAUCCAAAUCUCUCUGAGGCCAAAUACUGCCCAGCUCGAAUGAACGCUAUGCUCCAUGCCUGAAACAACUGCUCCAGCCCUCAGAAAAGAGUCUCCCAUUCAACUGAAGUCUGCAUAUCAGAUUCCCGUGGGAUAAUUCAUAAAGGCUCCUUGAAGUUAAUUCUGGGUAUAUCCUGAAAUAGAGGGUCUCCUCUGUUUUUUCUUCUUUUUUUCCACAACUGAGGAGACACUAGUGCCUACUUAUCUCAAUAAUGGGAUUUCUCUUUGAUGCAA
rnacentral:lncRNA from 1 species